rnacentral:rRNA from 1 species
GUGCCAGCCGCCGCGGUAAUACGGAGGGUGCAAGCGUUGUUCGGAAUUACUGGGCGUAAAGGGCGCGCAGGCGGUUUUACAAGUCAGAUGUGAAAGCCCACGGCUCAACCGUGGAAGUGCAUUUGAAACUGUAUGACUUGAGUACCAGAGGGGAAGGUGGAAUUCCCGGUGUAGAGGUGAAAUUCGUAGAUAUCGGGAGGAAUACCGGUGGCGAAGGCGACUUUCUGGCUGGAUACUGACGCUGAGGCGCGAAAGCGUGGGGAGCAAACAGGAUUAGAUACCCCGGUAGUCC